UGAGGAAUAUUGGUCAAUGGACGAAAGUCUGAACCAGCCAUGCCGCGUGCAGGAUGACUGCCCUAUGGGUUGUAAACUGCUUUUAUACGGGAAUAAACCUCCGAACGUGUUCGGAGCUGAAGGUACCGUAAGAAUAAGGAUCGGCUAACUCCGUGCCAGCAGCCGCGGUAAUACGGAGGAUCCAAGCGUUAUCCGGAUUUAUUGGGUUUAAAGGGUCCGCAGGCGGGAUAUUAAGUCAGUGGUGAAAGCCUACAGCUUAACUGUAGAACUGCCAUUGAUACUGGUAUUCUUGAGUGUAGUUGAGGUGGGCGGAAUAAGUCAUGUAGCGGUGAAAUGCAUAGAUAUGACUUAGAACACCGAUUGCGAAGGCAGCUCACUAAACUACUACUGACGCUGAGGGACGAAAGCGUGGGGAGCGAACAGGAUUAGAUACCCGUGUAGUCC
rnacentral:rRNA from 1 species